rnacentral:lncRNA from 1 species
AGAUGCUCAUUUCAGUUUAACAAAUUAUUUUUAUUUCAGCAAGGAUUGUCUGGAAGAAUAACGAGAUAAGAUUUAUGGAGUCGACCUCAUGAAAUGCUAUGGUUCUUACAUAUAAUUUAUUAAUUUCUUCAGAAGUAAUUCGCGAGAUCAUGCACCUCUCUUUCCUAGUUAUAGAGAAAAAAGGUCCAGUUGGUUGGAUCCAGCCUAUUCUUGAAAUAAACAACUCACACACACUCCCUUUUCAAAAAAAGAUCAAUACACCAAUCACUACACUUAGAUUUAUUGGAUUUGUUGCUAAAAUAUCGGUAUUAAAUCUGAAACUCCCGGCAGAUGACCUCGAGAUUUUUUAGCAAUUUUUAA